rnacentral:tRNA from 1 species
AUAGCUCAGUGGUAGAGCACGUGCCUAGCAUGCACGAGGCCCUGGGUUUAAUCCCCAGU